rnacentral:rRNA from 1 species
UACGGGGGGGGCAAGCGUUGUUCGGAAUUACUGGGCGUAAAGGGCUCGUAGGUGGCCAACUAAGUCGGACGUGAAAUCCCUCGGCUUAACCGGGGAACUGCGUCUGAUACUGGAUGGCUUGAGUACGGAAGAGGCGAGUGGAAUUCCUGGUGUAGCGGUGAAAUGCGCAGAUAUCAGGAGGAACACCGAUGGCGAAGGCAGGUCUCUGGGCCGAUACUGACGCUGAGGAGCGAAAGCGUGGGGAGCGAACAGG